rnacentral:rRNA from 1 species
CCUACGGGGGGCAGCAGUGGGGAAUAUUGCACAAUGGGGGAAACCCUGAUGCAGCGACGCCGCGUGAGUGAUGAAGUAAUUCGUUGUGUAAAGCUCUAUCAGCAGGGAAGAAAAUGACGGUACCUGAGUAAGAAGCCCCGGCUAACUACGGGCCAGCGGCCGCGGUAAUACGUAGGGGGCAAGCGUUAUCCGGAUUGAUUGGGUUUAAGGGGUGCGAUGGCGGCCUGUUAAGUCCGCGGUAAAAGCCUGGGGCUCAACCCCGGCGAGCCGUUGAAACUGGCGGGCUGGAGUUGGGGAGAGGUACGCGGAAUGCGCGGUGUAGCGGUGAAAUGCUUAGAUAUCGCGCAGAACCCCGAUUGCGAAGGCAGCGUACCGGCUCCACACUGACGCUGAGGCACGAAAGCGUGGGUAUCGAACAGGAUUAGAUACCCUAGUAGUC